CACAUGCUUGCUGAUUUUAAAUUUAGAUUUUUUCAUGCAUACAAUAUCAAGUCAUAGAUCCUUCUGUUGGUAUUUUAAGAUCUGAUCUUAUACAUGUAUUUAUAGAUUAAAAUAUUUAAUCUAGCUUUAUUUCAUUGUAAAAUUUUUGAAAUGCAUACAUGAAACCCCUGCACAUUUUCAACAAUUAGGAGUGAUCGAUCCCUUAUUGAUCACUCACAACCUCCA
rnacentral:lncRNA from 1 species